AACGCACCUUGCGCUCCCUGGUAUUCCAAGGAGCAUGCCUGUUUGAGCGUCACGAAUAAUUCUUGACUGCCUUUUGGGUGGGAGAGGAUUUGGACGUUGCCAUUUCUUGGCUCGUCUUAAAUGCAUUAGCCAUUGUUGCCUGCUAGGCAAGUUGGGUUUGAUGUGAUAAGCAUUGCAUCUGCUUGGCUUGGAUUGAUAGUGUAACUUGGCUGCGAAUGGUUGGUGUCAAUACCGACAGCUUUAAUGUUUUGACCUCAAAUCAGGUAGGACUACCCGCUGAACUUAA
rnacentral:misc_RNA from 1 species